rnacentral:misc_RNA from 1 species
GAACGCACAUUGCGCCCCCUGGUAUUCCGGGGGGCAUGCCUGUCCGAGCGUCAUUACAACCCUCAAGCUCUGCUUGGUGUUGGGCCCCGCCGCCCCGGCGGGCCCUAAAGUCAGUGGCGGUGCCAUCCGGCUCCGAGCGUAGUAAUUCUUCUCGCUCUGGAGGUCCGGUUGUGUGCUCGCCAUCAACCCCCAAUUUUUUUCAGGUUGACCUCGGAUCAGGUAGGGAUACCCGCUGAACUUAAG